CGAGGGUGAACCUGUCUUCACACGGCAGAGGUCGGGAGUUCGAGUCUCCCAUCGCCCA
rnacentral:tRNA from 1 species